rnacentral:lncRNA from 1 species
AUUCUAUCUGAUGGGCAAGACAAAUGAUUGGCCACAUUGGAGCCUCAGCGUUCCAAGAGCCACAUAGCUCUAGUGGACCUAUGACUUCAGUGCUCAGACCAAUACCCAAGACAAACACAAGAAAGUUGGACACAAGCACAACAGUGACUGCUUCAACUUUACAUUGGAGAAGUAACAUUCCUUCAAAGCUGGCUGCUAUGAAAGGCACGAGAAACUCAAAGAAAGCAGUGAACAUCAUAAAUUCUACCAGUUCUACUCCUGAUGUAACAUUUGGGUCAGUUUUACUUAAAACCACAUUGUCCACAAAGAUCCCUGAAACAACAGGGAAGAGCACUGGUUAUCCUUCAAUGACUACAUCUA